rnacentral:misc_RNA from 1 species
AUGUUGCUGCCAUCUUGUAAAUCUGUGAACACAGAAGUAUCAAGUCAUUGAAGAUACAUGAAAUCCAAGCUAGGUUGAUAACAAAUAUGUACUCAAUUUAAAAUAUACAACAUUAAACCAAGCAGUUGCUAAAUGCAAAUCUUAAAGAAACCUUAAAGUAACAAGCAUAAAAUGGAAGGAGGGGAAGAAGAGGGGGGGGGGGGGGGGG